UGGGGAAUAUUGCACAAUGGGCGGAAGCCUGAUGCAGCGACGCCGCGUGGGGGAUGAAGGUCUUCGGGUUGUAAACUCCUUUCGACAGGGACGAAGCUUUUUUGACGGUACCUGUAUAAGAAGCACCUGCUAACUUCGUGCCAGCAGCCGCGGUAAUACGUAGGGUGCGAGCGUUGUCCGGAAUUACUGGGCGUAAAUAGCUCGUAGGUGGUUUGUCGCGUCGUCUGUGAAAUUCCGGGGCUUAACUCCGGGCGUCGAGGGGAAACGGGAUGACUUGAGUGCUGUAGGGGAGACUGGAAUUCCUGGUGUAGCGGUGAAGUGCUCGGGUAUCAGGAGGAACACCGAUGGCGAAGGCAGGUCUCUGGGCAGUAACUGACGCUGAGGAGCGAAAGCAUGGGUAGCGAACAGG
rnacentral:rRNA from 1 species